rnacentral:rRNA from 1 species
AUGGCCCUCGUGGGAAGGUUAGCUCCCGCUCGGCUGAAGUGUCGCUACAGGCACAACAUAGUCCACAAGAGCUAUGCAUGCAUGAAGGACAGGGCGGCAACCGCUGCCCUGUGGGAUCAAGUAGGAAGGACGAUGCUGCUCGGGGCGAUCAUGGAUGCGAACGAGCUUGUCACCGAAGAAGCCGACACUGUCGCUGCUGCAGCACACUUGGGGUUAGGAAAGCAGGUAAAACAACUCCAAUGUUAUGGGUGCAUCAUGGACCUCGACUCAUGGACGUGGGAGUUAUGUUACAGAGGUAUACAUCUUGCCCAGGCGUUGGCUCGGGCGAUGAAAAUUAUCCGCGUGCUUACCGCUGUUGCUGCUCUCCUGUCUACUAGUGCCUCCUACGCACUCCAGGAUUGUCCAAGCAUCUGGAAUGAUGCCAAGCUCCGGACCAACACCACCGGCGCGAUCCGGCUGACGAUGCUGCACACACAGCAUCGGUGCUCGCCCGUGCGGCGGCAGAGGGGCCUCCCUCCGUCCUGGCAUCAGCAUCACUCCACGGCGCUACACCGCGAGCGCCGCCUUCUCUUCCGUCGCCGGCCGCCCCCGCCAAACAUCUCCACGCCAGUGACGAGCACGAGCGCCGCCGGGGUGGAUCACGGGUUCAUGGCGCAAGUCGCCAUCGGGACACCGCCCACGACGCAGACCGUCCUGAUCGACACCGCCGCGUCCUUCUCGUGGGUGCAGUGCGCCCCCUGCGCCCGUAACGGCUGCUACAACCAGGACGGCCCGCUGUUCGACACCCGGACCUCCUCCACGUACGCCGCGGUGCCAUGCUCGACGCAGCCGUGCGUGUCCGUCGACGCAACCAUGGCGCGUACCAACUGCAGCAGCAGCGGGGACAAGACAUGCCUUUACAGGGUAGAGUACACGGACCGGUCGGUGUCCCAAGGGCGCGUGAGCAGGGACACGCUCACCCUCGGCCAAGAGAAGAUCCCGGGGUUCAUGUUUGGCUGCAGCCGGCACCACGAACCCACGUUCGAGAGAUACGCAGGCAUAUUCGGCUUUGCAAAUGACCGCGUGUCUUUCUUCUCCCAGGUCGUGGACAAGUCUCGGCAGUACCGGGCAUUCUCCUACUACCUCCCUUCACCGAGCUCCGUAGGGUACAUACAGGUGGGGUCCUACGACGAGGGCGGGUUGGCCUUCACUCCCAUGUUCAGUAGGAACCUGUACUACUUCCUGGCACUGACAGGGAUGACGGUCGACGGCUCCCCGAUAGACUUGGCAAGCACCAACUUGUCAGCUGGCCAGCCGAGACCGUCAGAGUUCGUCAUGUACCUAGACCUGGGCUCAGCAUUUUCCCUGCUACCAAGCCAUGUGUAUAAGAGGAUUUGCGACGCGGUGGCUCAGGGCAUCAAAGGGUACGACCGCAUCCACAGAGGGGGGCAGAGCUGUUGCUUCGACCCGUCGUUUCUGUCGACGGAGAGAGCGGUGCCCACGGUGCAGAUACAUUUCAGGAAUGGUGUGCGACUCGUGCUGAAUGAAGCCAGGCUCAUGUACGAAACACCCGAUGAGAGGCUCUGCCUUGGUUUCGUGCCCAGCACUAGCCGCUUCUUGCUCGGCAGCAUGCAGUUGCAGAUGGCCUAUGUGGUUCAAGACGUUGAGAAAUCAAUCAUGGGAUUCCCGAGGACCUAA